rnacentral:rRNA from 1 species
GACGAACGCUGGCGGCGCGCCUAACACAUGCAAGUCGAACGGAGAUACCAGAAAGAUCCUUUCGGGGUGAAUUUUGACUAUCUUAGUGGCGGACGGGUGAGUAACACGUGAGCAACCUGCCUUACAGAGGGGGAUAACAUCUGGAAACGGAUGCUAAUACCGCAUAACAUUUUGAAACCGCAUGGUUUUGAGAUCAAAGAUUUUAUCGCUGUAAGAUGGGCUCGCGUCCGAUUAGCUAGUUGGUGAGGUAACGGCCCACCAAGGCGACGAUCGGUAGCCGGACUGAGAGGUUGAACGGCCACAUUGGGACUGAGACACGGCCCAGACUCCUACGGGAGGCAGCAGUGGGGGAUAUUGCACAAUGGGGGAAACCCUGAUGCAGCGACGCCGCGUGAGGGAAGAAGGUUUUCGGAUUGUAAAGCUCUGUUGCAGAGGACGAUAAUGACGGUACUCUGUGAGGAAGCCACGGCUAACUACGUGCCAGCAGCCGCCGUAACAC